rnacentral:lncRNA from 1 species
AUUUCUUAGAGAUAUUAAGAUAAAUUUAAAGACAUACAAUAGCAUGAGCUGAACACAGGAUUCACAUUUUAAAAGCAAGAAGGAAACAAAAAAUUCCUUGCUUUGCAGACCUGGGAGUCAUUAAAAGGCUUGUGCCAUAGAUGGAUUUGAGUGAGCAAAUUGAUUUGCGUGGAGAGCAUUCCUUCUUUUGAGCUGCCUGCCUGACAUUUUGAGAAUACCGAUUCAAGACAUAUCUGUGACAGUUUCAGUUGCAGAGAAUUCAGUAAGACCACUGAAUUCACUGAUGCUGUUUAAAAAAAAAGAAAGAAAGAAAGAGAAAGAAAAAAAAGUGAAAAAUAACUUGGUAUUUGCAUGUAGAGAUCACUUGUGGAUCUGAAAAUAUGUAUGGAAUUUCUGGCUAAAUCAAUGGAAUUUUUAUUUUAGUUGGCUCUGUGGAUCUCCUGUACUCCGCCCCCCCCCACCCCCAUACACAGCUUGUCACCACUGUUUGAUGCUGGAAAAUACAUUGUAAAUGUGAAAAACUACACUGAGG